GUGUGUCAAAUUGUGGAAAAUCCCAAGUGCGACCGAACGGCUUCAGUGCGCGUCCAUCUCUCGCUGAGCCCAGACGAUACGUCGGACAACUGCCACCGUGUGCUGCUGUUGCUCUCUCUCUCUCUUUCGUGUAUUUUCGGUUGACCAUUUGUUUUGUUUUGAUUCCUUUUUCAUUUGACGAUUGCGUCGAGUGUGCGCACUUGGAUCGUCUGCGUUCACUGCCAAUAUCCCCAUGUUGCUACGCUGCUGGGCAACACGUAAUCUACCUUGCCGCGUGCAUUUUCACGAAAACGAGAGCGAACAGCAAGGGAAGUAGAACUUGACCAAGGCAGCGAAUAACCUUCGACCGAAAUCAGCGAAAAGGGGUUCAGAUUGCGUUGCCCUAUGGCGCGCCAACGAGUCCGUGUUGCCAUACGCUCAACAGACGUAACACGCUCGUGUGUGUGACUUGAAUCAAAACUCCAUUUUUAUUUCUCUCUCGAAAAACGUUCAUCGAGCUGAAAGUGAGACAAGUGUCGUGAACUUUUUCGUGACUUUUAAAACAAGAACCUGCAGUUUUCAGAAUAUGACAUUGAAGAAUCAAACGUGAUUAGUGACUCGGCAAUAUUCAUUUCAACUUUCAGUCUUUGGGCUCAGGUCGUGUGUGUGUGUGUGUAUGUGCGUGCGUGUGAGUGUGUGUGUAUAAGUUAAAGCGAGCAAUCGAAAUAAUGGCUCAUCACAAUUUGGAUUUAGAUUUGGACUUGGAUUCGAAUUUUGAGCCGCAACAAAGAGCUCGAUCCAACACGUGGCCGUUGCCCCGCCCCGAGAAUUACGUCGAGAUCAAAGAGGAGCCAUGCGAUGUGGAUUCGUUGUGUCACGCAAGCGGCACUGGCAUGGCCGGAAUGGUUGGCGGUAUGGGCAUCAACAUGGGCGGCCCCAUUGACUCGAUGAAGCUACUGGAUGGCUCUUGCGGUGGAUCGGCAGCCAGUGCCGCUGCAGCGGCCGCUGCUAAAAAGAAUUCUAGCAGACGCAACGCCUGGGGUAACAUGUCCUACGCCGAUUUAAUAACACAGGCAAUACAGAGCUCGCCCGAGAAGCGAUUAACCCUUUCGCAAAUCUACGAUUGGAUGGUCCAGAACGUCCCGUACUUUAAAGAUAAAGGCGAUAGCAACAGCUCGGCCGGAUGGAAGAAUUCCAUCCGUCACAAUUUAUCCCUGCAUAAUCGAUUCAUGCGGGUGCAAAACGAAGGGACUGGAAAAUCGUCGUGGUGGAUGAUCAACCCGGAUGCCAAACCUGGGAAAUCAGCCCGCCGCAGAGCCACAUCAAUGGAAACCUCAAAAUACGAGAAAAAACGCGGACGAGUAAAAAAGAAGGUGGAUGCGUUACGAGCGGGUCUGAUGACGACACCAUCGCCAAGUUCUUCCGUUUCCGAAGGUCUCGACAUGUUCCCUGAAUCGCCGCAUCUUCACCAUCCGCUGUCGCACACGCACGGCAGUCAUCCGCACUACCAGAUGCAGCAGCUCAGUCCGAGCGAUUUCCGUCCAAGAGCUUCGUCCAACGCCAGCUCGAUUGGCCGUCUCUCGCCCAUCCCGGCCGUACCGGAAUCGGAAGUACAGGACAGUCCUUGGAGUCCGCAGGACUAUCCAUCGGCCGCCGACGUCUACGGCCAACCUGGCAGCAACACGAGCGAUCGUUUCAAUCCGGACCAGUUAGUCGAAAAUAUCGCCGAGAGCAUGAAAAUCCGGGACAAUGGAUUCCUGGCUCCGUCGUCGGCCUCCAAGUCAUCGACCAAUUCUCCGGCCAGCAUCCAGCAAAAGCGACAGCAACAAUCACCGUCGGCUUCGUCGGCGACGAAUAGCAACGGCUAUAGCCUGUGCCAUCAGCCGAGCUACGCGUCACCUUACGCGGGCCAGCAGCCACCUCAGCAGGAUUAUCAUUCGCUAGGGGGCUCUGCGUCUUCGUCGUCAUCCACGUCGUCGGGAAGAGCAGCCUCUUCCGGAAUGGGACGAUCACCGCAGCCGCAAAGGAUCAUCAAUGGGCCGAACGAUGCUCCCAAUGCGCCACCCCCUUAUUCUAUGGCCACCUUGCAGGGCCUAUCUCCGUCCCAUAAUUUGCAUUCGCUGUCGCCUCCGCACUUACUGGAUCAACAGCAACAACAGCAUCAUAACAGCUGCAAUAGUGGACUGAGCAACGUUGGCUACGGCAGCGCGGCUGGACUGCCCGUCUUGGGCCGUUUCUGCACCUCGUCGCAGUCGAGCUUGGUGAAUUUGGCUUCGACCAACAACUGCAACGCCAUCGGCAGCAGUUCGGGUUUGCUCCGAGCUGCCCUCGCUCAGGGCAACAACAGCUCCAGUCACAGCCCUAGUCCGCCCGAGCACAGUCGUCACGAAUCGGAGACGACGCCGACCCCAUCUCAAGUGAUGAGUCAUCUGAUGGGUGUGCUAAACAACAACGGUGUCGUGUCUGGCUUGAUGCCCAACGACUUGGAUCUGAACCUGGACUCGCUGCAGGGCGGAUUUGAAGAUUGCAACGUUGACGAAGUCAUCAAGCACGAACUGAGCAUGGACGGAUCUCUGGAUUUUAAUUUUAGUCAGCACCAACAAAUGAUGCAGCAGCAGCACCAACAGCAGCAGUACCAGCUCGGAUUGCAGCAGCAACACCAUCACCAUUACCUGCAGCAGCACCACCUGAAUCACCACGCCGCUCAGCCAACAGUCAACAGUGGCGAUUUUAAUAAUAUGGCUCAUUUCGGUACAUCGUCCAGUUCUGUUCCAGCUUCCGGUGGCACUCUGUCUUCCUCAGUUGUGUCGUCACAGCCGCCGCCGUUGUGUUCUCUAGCAGCUCUGGCACCUGGGCGAUCCUGGGUACGAUAGAUUCAUGCACCAUCCAGUCACACACGUCGUAAACAAACUGAUUGCACAAAAAACGUAACAUUGGCCAAAAAUUUCGAAAAGAAAAGGAAAAAGAAAAAUGGGAACGAUGAGAGCUCUAAUGUUUUGAUUUUUAAUGUUUGAUCGCAAUUUUUUUUUUUGUUUAAAUUCAACAACUAACACGUCAUGCUUGGUUAAAAACUCCUAUCCGCUAUUGUGCUUGCCGCAACCAACAAAAACUAACGAAGGAGGACUUCUAAGCUGUGCCUACUAUCGUCACGGGGUAUGACCGGAGGCAGCUCGUUUUUGGUUUAUCACAUGAUAACAACCCAGCUGAAUUGAUCUGCUGCAAAAAUUGCAACCGCAGAUAACGGAGUGUUGUAACAGAGUUGAACUUUCGCUCCACGUCUUACAGCCACAUUCACGUUGUACGAUUUAAAAAAAAAAUAAUGCGUAUCGUUAACCGCACAUGUACUUUGAAAAGGAACGUUACACGCUCCAGCGACUUUCUCCUGCUGAUGUAAAUAGGAUCGAGAAAAAUUCGAGUGUAAAAUGCAGAUUCGGUAGCUGCCCUAGCCUACCAACGCCUAAACGUUUCGGUUUGUUUAUAAUGCCAGAAGGGGAAGAAGUUUGCUCUCUCUCAUCCUGCUGCUUUUCGAUGAUAGUCGAUGCAUAUUUGAAUCGAUAAGGUCGUCUUAUUCAUUCAUCUUUAUCGAAGAAUACGGUUGUGGGAAUAGGGGAAAUGGCAUGGACAAUCAGAGCCACGUCCUUACCAUUAUGUAGAUACACACAAAACUAUCAUAACUAUAACAACUGUUAAAGGGGAAAGUUGUUUAGCUCGAAUCGUUUAAACAUUAAUUUUAUUUUUUUUUUUAAGGCACGGUGUAGUUUUAUUACGCGAUUGUUUGUUUUUUGUUUGUUUGUUUGUUUUUAUUUUCUUGCUAUUUAGAUUACAUUGCCGCCGUAUUCCCGUGUUUUGAAAGCUACGUGUUUUGCAAGCGACAAAUCUGCGCGAUUUCGAAUGCGUCCUGAUCUGGGAACAUUUCGCCAAUGAUGGACGUUAGAAUGGAAUUAGGAAAAUGUAGCUCGUUUUUGGUCCAUUUCAAUGUUUGGCUCGCUAGCAUUCGCAAAUCAGGUUCUUCUUUCUUAGGAACACUUCCUUCAAAGACCAUAGUUUCACGCAGAGCAGUAUCUAAACUCAAUUGUUCGUUCGCUGAGCUGAUUUUGCCUGUACCUUCAGAUAUCCCCCCACCCCCGACCCUUUUCCCCGUUUUUACACUUCAUCGAGCGCGUUCUUGUCGCCAUGUCUCAGGAAAAUGAACCAACUAGCGAGAAUCGAGAUUUUAAUUUUACAGUCGAGGGCAAUUCAAAUGUCAAUGUUUUUUUUUUUUCUUCAUGUGUGGAAUCAAUUGAGAUGUUUCAUGAUUUAUUUUUCAUUGCCAGUAGAUAGAUGUGUUUAUAAAAAAACCCCUAAUCCGUGCCCCCCCCCCAUCCUUGCUUAAAAAAAAAAAAAAAAAAAAAAUGAGAAGAAAAUGAAAGAAAAAACAAAAACAAAAAACUAAAUAGUUUUUUUUAAAUGCAGAGAACAUACCUGAUCUACAAUGCUUCCCGAAUCGACAAGAAGUUAUUUGUUUGACAAGGAAAAAUUCCUAAUGUUUUGCUAAAUCAUUUAUUUCGUGUUUAUCAGACAGUUUUUAACUGUACCUUUUUACUACUAUAGAUUCCUUUUUUUUUUUUUUUUCAAAUCAAUUUUGUUUGUUCUGUGUUCGCUAUCCCCGCCAAAUAGUGUUUCUUUUAUAAUGGCUGUAUAUUGUGUCAUCGUAAGCUCAAAAGAUUGAAACAAGUAAUGGGCUAGACUGACAGAAAUUCAUGCACAGUCUGUAUUUCUGUAUUUGCAUUCUAUGUACAUAUUGAAAAGGAGAUAAAUAACUAGUUCAAAAAUCUAA